AUAAGCCUGGCACUAACCAUCAUAUCAAUAAUGCCUGUGUUAUAUUCGGAUACUUCUAGGUUAUUGAAGGAGAUGAAGUUCUGCAUAUACUCGGCUGUCAAGGAUGCUGGAUGCUCGGAGUCACUGUUCUUCAACACGGAGGUUUCCCUGCUCAGGAGGCGACUCCUCGCGGAGUUCGAAGGCGACUGCGAUGACACGCUUUCUCCUGGUGGGACAGCGGUGGUUCUGCAAAAGAUCGUCAAGGCUGCGAGCUCAAGGAGUUCACGCAGGAAUGGGAGACGUGCGAUGUGGACAGAGCUCACGAAGUGAACCUCAAGUAUCGGAAUGGUACAGGUCUACAGGACGAGGCUACCGCUCCCGACCGUCAGCGAGAAAGGUUUUGCAGUGACAUCUCCGGCUACCUGCAGUGCCUGCGCGAUUCGGCCGGCAGGCACCACUGUCCGGCUCUCGCUCCGGGCCACCCGAACACAGGCAACGAAGAAUGGUUCCGGCGGCUCGGGUUCUUGACAUGUUCCUCCUCACCACUGUUGGGAAGCAGCUGGACUCUGUUGGCGGUCGCUGGUGCAGCGCAUGCCGUAGCCCUCCAUCCCGCACCCUGGCAGUAGGGUACACAGACCGGCUUUAACAAAU